rnacentral:lncRNA from 1 species
UCCUACAGUAUUACUGAUGGCUGUCUAAUCUGGAGUUCAGUGACAUGACCAGGGCUCACUGCAACCUUGAUCCGGGCUCAAGUGAUCCUCCUACCUCAGCUUCCUGAGUAGCUAGGACCACAGGUGUGCACCAACCACACCCGACUAAUUUUUGUAGAGAUGAGAUCCCACUAUGUUACCCAGGCUGGUCUUGAACUCCUGGGCUCAGGUGAUCAUCCUGCCUUGGCUUCCCAAAGUACUGGGAUUAUAGGCUUGAGCCACCGUGCCUGGCCUGUGAUCAGAAUUCUCAUUUUUUUAGUCACUAAAAAUGCUGGGGGGCACUCCAUUCUCCAUUAUGUGAUUAGUUCACAUUGCAUGCCUGUAUCAAAACAUCAUAUAUACCCCACAAAUACAUACAAAAAACUUUAAAAUUUUAAGUAUUAAUUGCUCAGGAAAAAAUUAAAAUGCUGGGGUGCUGAAAUCUCAAGGGCCCCAUUACAAAACUCCUUGGGAACCUCACCCUCUCUCUGCUGUAAGGACUGGUUCCAGAAUGAGAGAAUUUAAAAGACAUUUCCCCCCCCAAAAUGUUCAUAAUGUCACCCCGGAAACCUGCGAAUAUGUUAUAUUACAUGACCAGGGAGAAGUAAGGUUGCAGAAGGCAGUAAGGUUGCUAAUGGGCUGACCUUAAGAUAAGGAGAUGAUCCUGGAUUAUCUGGGUGGACCCAAUGUAAUCACAAGGGUCCUUAACUGUGGAAUAGUGAGGUGGCGGAGUCAGAGGCAGAGUGAUGCAAUGAGUGAAAGACUUAACCAGCCAUCACCGGCUUUGAAUACGGAAGACGGUCAUGAGCCAGGGAAUGCAGGCAGGCUCUGGGAGCUGAAAAAAGCAAGAAAAUGGAUUCUCCCCUGGAGCCUCCAGAAGGGAUGUGGUCCUGCCAACCCCUUGUCAGUGAGCCAUUUCAGAUUUCUGACUGCCAGG